rnacentral:rRNA from 1 species
UACGUAGGUGGCGAGCGUUAUCCGGAAUGAUUGGGCGUAAAGGGUGCGCAGGCGGUUGUAUAAGUCUGAAGUAAAAGCCAUCGGCUCAACCGAUGUAAGCUUUGGAAACUGUGUAACUAGAGUGCAGGAGAGGGCAGUGGAAUUCCAUGUGUAGCGGUAAAAUGCGUAGAUAUAUGGAGGAACACCAGUGGCGAAGGCGGCUGCCUGGCCUGUAACUGACGCUGAGGCACGAAAGCGUGGGGAGCAAAUAGG